UAUAAAUCAUUUUUUUUUAAACCAUGCAAGAAUUUUAUAAAUUUAAGAUAAUAUAAAUUAUAAAAAAUCUAUGCUUUCUAGACCUCUAACAAGUAGCACAUAUAUGUAAUGAUUACAACUAUAUCACCGUCAGGGAUGUGAACCCGCACUCAGACCCUUUACUCUCGUACCUGCACACUAUUUAAAAAUGGAGGGUUCACAGAUUCUACGUGUCAAAAACAAUCAAAAUUAUACUUAUACAUGGGCGAUGAAAUUCAACUCAAACAAUACUUAUAUAUAUGAUCUUGAAACAUGUUUAACAAGAUGCUAAGAAAUAAUCGGUAUGAAUUAUUAAGUGACAUUGCUUACUAGGAUGAUCAAUGAGGAGCUAGGACACAAUCAGGCAGACAAUCAAUCCCACAGAAUGAAUGAACUUAUUUUUUUUAAAAUCAUAUGAGUAACUGAUUUAUAUUAUGUGAUAUUUAUUAUUUUUUGAAUGUAAUGGCGCUUGGCCUUUUAAGGGUGGGCGUAUUGUGCUUUCUUAUUUAUAGAUAAAUUUCACUAUUAGUAAUAAUGUAGAUUUCAUUUAUUUUAUUUUCUUAAU